CGAAGAGAUUAAAAAGAUUGAUGUCUGGCUAACAGUGGACGAAAAUUACAUGCUACUUGUUAACCACUUGAGCUAUGUAGGCGGUAACAAAACAUCAGCAAUAUUAAGGAGGAUUCUUGAAAAACUGUUUUCAAACAAACUUGC